ensembl:misc_RNA Metazoa_SRP Metazoan signal recognition particle RNA
GUCUACACUAAGCUUGGCAUCAAUAUGGUGACCUUCUGGAAGUGGAGUACCACCAGGUUGCCUAAGGAGGGGUGAACUGACCCAGGUUGAAAAUCGAGCAGGUCAUAACUCCCAUGCUAAUUAGUAGUAGAAUCAC